rnacentral:rRNA from 1 species
GAAAUUCCUUUCGGCAUGGGAGCAUACCAAAGGAGUAAUCCGCUUUGAGAUGGACCCGCGGUGCAUUAGCUAGUUGGUGAGGUAACGGCUCACCAAGGCCACGAUGCAUAGCCGACCUGAGAGGGUGAUCGGCCACAUUGGAACUGAGAUACGGUCCAGACUCCUACGGGAGGCAGCAGUGGGGAAUAUUGCGCAAUGGGGGAAACCCUGACGCAGCAACGCCGCGUGGGUGAUGAAGGUCUUCGGAUUGUAAAACCCUGUCUUCUGGGACGAUAAUGACGGUACCAGAGGAGGAAGCCACGGCUAACUACGUGCCAGCAGCCGCGGUAAUACGUAGGUGGCGAGCGUUGUCCGGAUUUACUGGGCGUAAAGGAUGCGUAGGCGGAUAUUUAAGUCAGAUGUGAAAUACCCGAGCUUAACUUGGGUGCUGCAUUUGAAACUGGGUAUCUAGAGUGCAGGAGAGGUAAGUGGAAUUCCUAGUGUAGCGGUGAAAUGCGUAGAGAUAAGGAAGAAAUA